GACGAACGCUGGCGGCGUGCUUAACACAUGCAAGUCGAACGGAAAGGCCCUGCUUUUGUGGGGUGCUCGAGUGGCGAACGGGUGAGUAACACUUGAGUAACCUGCCCUUGACUUUGGGAUAACUUCAGGAAACUGGGGCUAAUACUGGUUAGGAGCUCCUGCUGCAUGGUGGGGGUUGGAAAGUUUCGGCGUUUGGGGAUGGACUCGCGGCUUAUCAGCUUGUUGGUGGGGUAGUGGCUUACCAAGGCGUUGACGGGUGGCCGGCCUGAGAGGGUGACCGGCCACAUUGGGACUGAGAUACGGCCCAGACUCCUACGGGAGGCAGCAGUGGGGAAUAUUGCACAAUGGGCGGAAGCCUGAUGCAGCAACGCCGCGUGCGGGAUGACGGCCUUCGGGUUGUAAACCGCUUUCGCCUGUGACGAAGCGUGAGUGACGGUAAUGGGUAAAGAAGCACCGGCUAACUACGUG
rnacentral:rRNA from 1 species